UACGUAGGGGGCAAGCGUUGUUCGGAUUCAUUGGGCGUAAAGGGUGCGUAGGCGGCGCGGUAAGUCGGGUGUGAAAUCUCGGAGCUUAACUCCGAAACUGCAUUCGAUACUGCCGUGCUUGAGGACUGGAGAGGAGACUGGAAUUUACGGUGUAGCGGUGAAAUGCGUAGAUAUCGUAAGGAAGACCAGUGGCGAAGGCGGGUCUCUGGACAGUUCCUGACGCUGAGGCACGAAGGUCAGGGGAGCAAACGGGAU
rnacentral:rRNA from 1 species